UACAGAGGUCCCAAGCGUUGUUCGGAUUCAUUGGGCGUAAAGGGUGUGUAGGUGGCGCCGUAAGUCGGGUGUGAAAUCUCGGGGCUUAACUCCGAAACUGCAUUCGAUACUGCGGUGCUUGAGGACUGGAGAGGAGACUGGAAUUCAUGGUGUAGCAGUGAAAUGCGUAGAGAUCAUGAGGAAGACCAGUGGCGAAGGCGGGUCUCUGGACAGUUCCUGACACUGAGGCACGAAGGCCAGGGGAGCAAAACGGG
rnacentral:rRNA from 1 species